AGAUCCACAGGUUAACUUUGUGUUGUGUGAAGUUGUGAUGAGGUGUACUAGCCUUUUGAGGCCCCCUGCUGAAGGCCUUGUCCUGCCACACCUUUUCCCAGAAAGGAGCAGUGAAGGUGGGUCCUCCAGGCCUGCCUAGAAGGGCUGCAGAGAAGCAGCCAAUCAGAGUGAAGGAGGCUCAGUUAAAAGGAGAUAUGCAGGGCCUGAGCUGAUCCAUUGCUGGCUGGGACCAGAAGGGGGGAGAAGGAUUAGAAGGCUGUAGAAUUCCACUGGUAAAGAGGCCGGGAGAGACCCUGCUCAAGCAGGGGGAACAGACAGAAAACCCUGAGAUGGAAUGGAAAGUCUGAGAUGGCCUGGCCAUGAGCCGCCUCCCGGGAACCUUGGCAUGAGUUCAUUUUCCCAUUCCCAAACAGCAUCUAGAGGCCUGCUCUGUUUUUUGGAUUGGAGAAGAGCUAGAUAUUUCCUGCUGGGUCACUUCUAACCAUUGGAACUCGGCUGGACCAGGUUUAUGAAGUGAAACAGUGUAAAGAAAAUCAGGCAGAAAGGAGGAAAAGCCACCAAUGAGAAAACGUCGUUAGGGAAUAGGGGAAAAGGGGGAGUAGGGAUUUCUUCAGUGAGCUGCUGUCAUUUUGAAGAAUUUUGUUCGAACCAAACCAAGAAGCUGUCAGUGAUGUGUGGUUGAGGUCAUAGAAGUUCACAAUGGAUCAUUGCAAGCAGAUUAAAAUGACAUUUAUGAUGUUAAAGGCACAUUCCCCGAUUCACAUUUCCAGGGGAAAAUGUUCUGCCUAAGGCAAAUGUUGUGGUGAGGUGGCUAUUUGCAUUGUUAUCAGAAAUGUCAAGGAUUUGGGUGGUAGAAAUAUUUGCAAUUAAACGUUAAGCCGGGGUUGGAUGGCUUUUUAAAAAAACUAAUGCAAAAAUAGAAUCCAUUUUAUUGCAACAUAUGAUUUCUCAGAUUUAUUGCACAAAAGUAUACCACUCCAGUGAAAAUGAGCCAAUUUUCAAAUUAGAGGGGUUGCCUAUAGAUCAAAAGGGGGCUUUUAAAUAUGAAAUUUUGCAUUGUCAACAUUUCACAUGUCUCUGAUGCAAAAAUAACUGUAUUUUGUGUAACAGGAAAACCCAAAAUUUAAGGAGCACAGAGUCAUCCACAAUGAAAUGGCCAAAACAAAAAAUGGUGUGAAAAUCCAUGGAAAGUUUUUCACCAGUUUCACACACCUCUGAUGUUGGAGAAUUUUUUGUCGUUAAAGUGUGAAAGUGAAGGAAGUCUAAUGACACAAUGAGUGAGUGUGGAAUUUCAUUCAGAUAUUCCUCAGAACUGGGAUCCCUGCCUCAAUUUCCAGGCCUCCAUUCAUUCCCUCUGAACUGCCAGUCCUUGUAGCAAUUGUAGCUAUGUAAAUAUGAAGGAUAUUUUGUUCUGUCUUCUGUGCAUUACACAUUUAAAUGUAAAGAAUCUCCCUGUCUGCCUGGGAGUCAUUUCAAAAUGCCUUCCACCCAACUCAAAGGGUGGAAAAUUUGAUAGGAGGGAGACAUACUACUCUGCUGUCUGCUUCCCAUUAGCCAGUCAGAGGGAGAGGACAGCUAAUUGGCUCCUUGCUCCUCCCCAUUUACUAAUUUAAGCCCUUGCCAGGAUUUUUUUGCCACUGACAUCCAGUGCAGAUCAAAGGCCAAAAGGGCCAGUUCCCAGAAGUGAAAGAUCUGGGAUUUUGCUGAUGGAGCUUGGGCCUCUGAGAAAAGGGGUGAAUUGAAGUCUUUGCAGACUGAGGUCCCUUUUUUUGUCACCCUCGUGGGGGAGAGGGAAUUAUAGAUUAUAUAGUGGGAGCCUGUAACCCUGCCCUGGACCCAUUUAUAUGUCUGGUAGAAGGGAGACAGAGCAGAGUGCCCUUCCACAGUAUUGAGUUAAUAAAAUGCAGCCUGCCUCUUAAAUCCA